CCUACGGGAGGCAGCAGUGAGGAAUAUUGGUCAAUGGGCUUACGCCUGAACCAGCCAAGUCGCGUGAGGGAAGACUGCCCUAUGGGUUGUAAACCUCUUUUGUCAGGGAGCAACGCCUGCUACGUGUAGCCGGACUGAGAGUACCGGAAGAAAAAGCAUCGGCUAACUCCGUGCCAGCAGCCGCGGUAAUACGGAGGAUGCGAGCGUUAUCCGGAUUUAUUGGGUUUAAAGGGUGCGUAGGCGGAAUGCCAAGUCAGCGGUAAAAGCGCGGGGCUCAACCUCGCUCCGCCGUUGAAACUGGCGUUCUUGAGUGGGCGAGAAGUAUGCGGAAUGCGUGGUGUAGCGGUGAAAUGCAUAGAUAUCGCGCAGAACUCCGAUUGCGAAGGCAGCAUACCGGCGCCCAACUGACGCUGAAGCACGAAAGCGUGGGUAUCGAACAGGAUUAGAUACCCCUGUAGUC
rnacentral:rRNA from 1 species